rnacentral:rRNA from 1 species
AGUGAACGCUGGCGGUAGGCCUAACACAUGCAAGUCGAACGGCAGCACAGUAAGAGCUUGCUCUUACGGGUGGCGAGUGGCGGACGGGUGAGGAAUACAUCGGAAUCUACUUUUUCGUGGGGGAUAACGUAGGGAAACUUACGCUAAUACCGCAUACGACCUACGGGUGAAAGCAGGGGAUCUUCGGCCCUUGCGCGUUUGAAUGAGCCGAUGUCGGAUUAGCUAGUUGGCGGGGUAAAGGCCCACCAAGGCGACGACCCGUAGCUGGUCUGAGAGGAUGAUCAGGCACACUGGAAAUGAGAAACGGUCCAGACUCCUAAGGGAGGCAGCAGUGGGGAAUAUUGGACAAUGGGCGCAAGCCUGAUCCAGCCAUACCGCGUGGGUGAAGAAGGCCUUCGGGUUGUAAAGCCCUUUUGUUGGGAAAGAAAAGCAGCAGGUUAAUACCCCGCUGUUCUGACGGUACCCAAAGAAUAAGCACCGGCUAACUUCGUG